UACGUAGGUGGCAAGCGUUGUCCGGAAUUAUUGGGCGUAAAGCGCGCGCAGGCGGUCCUUUAAGUCUGAUGUGAAAGCCCACGGCUCAACCGUGGAGGGUCAUUGGAAACUGGGGGACUUGAGUACAGAAGAGGAAAGUGGAAUUCCACGUGUAGCGGUGAAAUGCGUAGAGAUGUGGAGGAACACCAGUGGCGAAGGCGACUUUCUGGUCUGUAACUGACGCUGAGGCGCGAAAGCGUGGGGAGCAAACGGG
rnacentral:rRNA from 1 species